ACGGGCUAAUACCGCAUACUACUCUCGGUGAGAAUCCGGGAAGUAAAAGCAGUAAUGCGCUGCAGGAGGGGCCCGCGGCCGAUUAGCUAGUUGGUGAGGUAACGGCCCACCAAGGCGACGAUCGGUAGCUGGUCUGAGAGGAUGGUCAGCCACACGGGGACUGAGAUACGGCCCCGACUCCUACGGGAGGCAGCAGCUAAGAAUCUUGCGCAAUGGGCGAAAGCCUGACGCAGCAACGCCGCGUGGAGGACGAAGGCCCUCGGGUCGUAAACUCCUUUUGCGAGGGAAGAAGAUCUGACGGUACCUCGCGAAUAAGCCACGGCUAACUACGUG
rnacentral:rRNA from 1 species